rnacentral:rRNA from 1 species
CCUACGGGAGGCAGCAGUGAUGAAUAUUGGUCAAUGGGCGCUAGCCUGAACCAGCCAAGUAGCGUGAAGGAUGACUGCCCUAUGGGUUGUAAACUUCUUUUAUAUGGGAAUAAAGUGCAGUAUGUAUACUGCUUUGCAUGUACCUUAUGAAUAAGGAUCGGCUAACUCCGUGCCAGCAGCCGCGGUAAUACGGAGGAUCCGAGCGUUAUCCGGAUUUAUUGGGUUUAAAGGGAGCGUAGGCGGGUUGUUAAGUCAGUUGUGAAAGUUUGCGGCUCAACCGUAAAAUUGCAGUUGAUACUGGCAGCCUUGAGUACAGUAGAGGUAGGCGGAAUUCGUGGUGUAGCGGUGAAAUGCUUAGAUAUCACGAAGAACUCCGAUUGCGAAGGCAGCCUGCUGGACUGUAACUGACGCUGAUGCUCGAAAGUGUGGGUAUCAAACAGGAUUAGAUACCCCAGUAGUC